GAUGAACGCUGGCGGCGUGCUUAACACAUGCAAGUCGAACGGAAAGGCCCUGCUUUUGUGGGUCGCUCGAGUGGCGAACGGGUGAGUAACACGUGAGUAACCUGCCCUUGACUUUGGGAUAACUUCAGGAAACUGGGGCUAAUACCGGAUAGGAGCUCCUGCUGCAUGGGGGGGGUUGGAAAGUUUCGGCGGUUGGGGAUGGACUCGCGGCUUAUCAGCUUGUUGGUGGGGUAGGGGCUUACCAAGGCUUUGACGGGUAGCCGGCCUGAGAGGGGGACCGGCCACAUUGGGACUGAGAGAGGGCCCAGACGCCAACGGGAGGCAGCAGGGGGAAGUAUUGCGCAAUGGGGCGAAGCCUGAGGCAGCAACGUCGCGUGCGGGAUGACGGCCUUCGGGUGGUAAACCGCUUUCUCCUGUGAUGAAGAGGGCGUGACGGUAAUGGGUAAAGAAGCACCGGCUAACUACGUG
rnacentral:rRNA from 1 species